UAAGUGUAAGUGAUCAUAGAUAUGCACAUGUGGAAAGCCUCAACAAAUUUAUCUCCUCUGUGCCCUUUCUCAGGGGACUGGUGGAAGAUGUGCUCCACUCAACCAAUAAAAGGAAGACAUGAGAUUCAAGAAACAAGAAAUGCAACACAGGAGAGGAGUAGAAGAAAUCACACCCCUUGUCUUCUGGUCAUGGAUACCAAGAGGAGAAGCUAGGCUGGGGAAGGUGGGUGUGGAACUCUGCGCAUCAGGGAAUGCCUGCCAGGUUGAAGGUACUCUCCCGUAGACAGAGGAGGCCUUUGGACUCGGACUGGACCAUACCACAGAUGCUCCUUGGUCUUCAGCUUGCUGACUGCAGAUCCUGGGACUUCUCAGCCUCAGUAACUCUG